UCGGGUGUCAACCCCUACGCGUAAUGAAAGUGAACGUAGGUGAGAGCUUCGGCGCAUCACCGACCGAUCCUGAUGUUCUCGGAUGGAUUUGAGUAAGAGCAUACGGGGCCGGACCCGAAAGAAGGUGAACUAUGCCUGUAUAGGGUGAAGCCAGAGGAAACUCUGGUGGAGGCUCGCAGCGGUUCUGACGUGCAAAUCGAUCGUCAAAUAUGGGCAUGGGGGCGAAAGACUAAUCGAACCUUCUAGUAGCUGGUUUCCGCCGAAGUUUCCCUCAGGAUAGCAGUGUUGAACUCAGUUUUAUGAGGUAAAGCGAAUGAUUAGGGACCAGGGGGCGCUAUUUAGCCUUCAUCCAUUCUCAAACUUUAAAUAUGUAAGAAGCUCUUGUUACUUAAUUGAACGUGGGCAUUCGAAUGUAUCAACACUAGUGGGCCAUUUUUGGUAAGCAGAACUGGCGAUGCGGGAUGAACCGAACGCGAGGUUAAGGUGCCAGAGUAGACGCUCAUCAGACACCACAAAAGGUGUUAGUACAUCUUGACAGCAGGACGGUGGCCAUGGAAGUCGGAAUCCGCUAAGGACUGUGUAACAACUCACCUGCCGAAUGUACUAGCCCUGAAAAUGGAUGGCGCUCAAGCGUCUCACCCAUACCUCGCCCUCAGGGUUGAAAUGAUGCCCUGAGGAGUAGGCGGACGUAGAGGUCAGUGACGAAGCCUAGGGCGUGAGCCC
rnacentral:rRNA from 1 species